CGAAGGGGGCUAGCGUUGUUCGGAAUUACUGGGCGUAAAGCGCGCGCAGGCGGUCUUCCAAGUCAGUGGUGAAAGCCUGGAGCUCAACUCCAGAACUGCCAUUGAAACUGUUAGACUUGAGUACGAGAGAGGUGAGUGGAAUUCCCAGUGUAGAGGUGAAAUUCGUAGAUAUUGGGAAGAACACCAGUGGCGAAGGCGGCUCACUGGCUCGUAACUGACGCUCAGGCGCGACAGCGUGGGGAUCAAACAGGAUUAGAUACCCUGGUAGUCCACGCCGUAAACGAUGAAUGCUAGCCGUUGGAUAGCUUGCUAUUCAGUGGCGCAGACUAACGCAUUAAGCAUUCCGCCUGGGGAGUACGGCCGCAAGGUUG
rnacentral:rRNA from 1 species